rnacentral:lncRNA from 1 species
AAUCCCAAAACUCAGACAUGGGGGAUCCCAAAACUCAGAGACGUGAGACCCCAAAACUCUGACAUGGAGGGACCCCAAAACCCAGAGACCUGGGACCCCAAAACUCAGACAUGGGGGACCCCAAAAACCCAGAGACCUGGGACCCCAAAAGCCAGAGACCCCAAAACGUGGACAUGGGGGAUCCCAAAACCCAGAGACCUGGGACCCCAAAACCCAGAGACCCCAGAACCUGAGUCAUAGGGACCCCACGACCUCUGACAUGGGGGGGGGGACCCUAAAACCCCCUGACAUGGGGGGGACCCCAAAACCCAGAGACCCCAGAACCUGACCCCCAGGAACCCCAGGAGCUCUGAGAUUGGGGAGGGGACCCCAAAACCCCCCGAGGUGGGGUGGGGGGGGACCCCAAAACCCUGAGACCCCAGAACCUGAGCCCCAGGAACCCCAGGACCUAUGAGAUGGGGGGGGACCCCAAAACCCCCCGAGGUGGGGUGGGGUGGACCCCAAAACCCUGAGACCCCAGAACCUGACCCCCAGGAACCCCAGGACCUCUGAGAUGGGGACGGGACCCCAAAACCUGAGCCAUAGGGCCCCUAGGACCUCUGAGAUGGGGGAGGGGACCCCAAAACCCCCCGAGGUGGGGUGGGGGGGGACCCCAAAACCCUGAGACCCCAGAACCUGACCCCCAGGAACCCCAGGACCUCUGAGAUGGGGGGGGACCCCAAAACCCAGAGACUCCAGAACCUGACCCAGAGGGAACCCAGGACCUUUGAGAUGGGGGAGGGGACCCCAAAACCCCCCGAGGUGGGGUGGGGUGGACCCCAAAACCCAGAGACCUCAGAAUCUGACCCCCAAGAACCCCAGGAGCUCUGAGAUGGGGGGGAGGGGACCCCAAAACCUGAGCCAUAGGGCCCCUAGGACCUCUGAGAUGGGGGAGGGGACCCCAAAACCCCCCGAGGUGGGGUGGGGGGGGGGACCCCAAAAAGCGGAGCGCCCCGUACCGGUGACGGGGGUGCGGUAGAAGCAGAAGAUGCGCGUGAUGGCAUCCAGGCUCUCCCACGACUCCGCGCGGUCCAGGAAACCCUUCAGCUUCGUCUCCAGGUUCCUGAGGGAACGAGAGGGGAUGGGGA